AUAUAGGAAAAACUGUCAGCCAUAAAACAUUGCUUUCUUUUGUCCCCAAAGGGAUAUGUGAUUUUGUCCUGCCUUUGCUAAUUAAGAGUUGAAAUUGCUAAAAUGUUUCUUGUUGGCUAAACUAGAGAGAAGACAUUAUAAUUCAAUGGUGACUUUUAAGUUUUGAGAAUUAAGAUCUGUUGAGGUUUAUGUGAGAAGGGGAAAAGGCUUGUGAACUACAGACAUGUUUAUGAUUCUAUCAAAUCUAGUCAGCCACAGCCCAACCAGAGGCACAAUUAUGCAAACAACUCAGUUUCUAUCCCUUGGAAAUGUUGAUAAUGGGUCAUGUUUCCAGUACGCAGGACUCACUGCUCAGUUCCGUGGCAGCCUAAAGUCAAAAGCUUAUCAGAUACAGUCAACUUCACAGAGUAUUAGGGCUGGGAAGAUGUGUAGGGCAACUCCUUCAUUUCAUAAAUAAAGACACUGCAUCCCAGAGAAGUGAUUUGCCCAAAGGCAAACGAGAGUGUUUAGGAUGAGAAGCCACAUCUUCUGAGUCUCCACGUCCCUGACUCCAGUCUCUGUUGGUAGCAUCCAGCCAGUCACUCCACUGACAGACAUGAACUGGCACUGGGGUUCCAGGCGCUGUGCUAGCCCCUCAGCAGGGCUGCAGUAUCUUUGAUGCUCAGCUCUGAACAGGCACUGAGGGCUCUAAUAUGAAUGAUGCAUAGUUUCUUCCCUGCUGGAGCUUCCAGGCUAGUGAAGGGACCCAAGGAACUCAACAAGAGAGGAGUACAGAACCGGUGAAAACAAUUCUAGAAAAAUGUACAAGAUACUGUGGGGGCUCAGAGAAGGGGCCAUACAUACUCAGCCUUGGGGGUAGGAACCUAAAGGAAAUGGAGGUUUCAUGCAGGUAAGGGGAGCAAAGGAUAGACAACAGCCCAAGCAAGGCUGGGAGACAACCCCUUGAGGGUGAGCAGGUUCAGCCUGGGCAACCUCAGGGAAGCCAGACUAUACAGGGACAAACCACUGUGACUUUACGUGGGGCUACAGUGAGCAUGAGGUCAAGGCAAACACAUGGUAAGGCCAAGAAGUCCUAAGUGGGCAUCAGGAUCCACGCAAGAAUGAACAGAUCAGGGGAGAACCAGAAGAACAUCUCCUGGAGAGCAUAUAAGUGAAGUAGCCUGGCUGAGAUCUAAAGAGGCAGGCACAGAGACAGCCACUGAGAUCAUUCCCUGGGCUGUCCUUGUCCACUGGGGCCACGUGUAGCCCGAAGAUUAAGCUAGCUUGAGCUAUCACCCAACAACAGUCUUGUUUUUCUCGAGUUGUGAGCCCACGAGGACUGUAACUGAACAAGUGGGGAAGUCAGAGUCUAAACUAAAACUAACGCUAAUAAAUUUUUAUAACUGCUACCCAUUUUUCCCCUCUCUCCCUGCACUGAUAGAGGUGCCCCAAUAGAGGUGGGGACAGCAUAGCCUGGAGCCAAAGGUUCUGAGUUCAAAGCCCGCCCUGCUAGCAAGUAGCUUUUGACCCUUGGCAAAGCUGCUUUGAGCUCCCUGCCUCAGCUCCCUUAUCUACACUCUCAGAACUGUUAGAUUGGAUGAGAACGCACAGACGGUGUUUUUAACACAGUGCCUGGCAGAUAGCUGUGUUCUGUGAGGGGUACUGUUCUAUUCAAAAGGCCAGAUUUUAAGGGAAAGCCCCAUGUCAAUGUGGACGUUGUGGUGAGUUGUAUUUCCCAAAGAUGACUGCAUCAGAGUCUCACCUACAGGCUCUUCCUAUGAUGUGACUUUGACCUUCCCCUCAUCGAGAGAUGGGGUUCUAUAUUCCCUCCCCUUGAAUCCAGUCAGGCUUAUGAGCAGAGUGAAAGUGAGUUUGUGACUUCUGAAACUAUAUCACAGUGUGCCUCUUUUAGGAAUGCUUGCUCUUGGAAACCAGCCACCAUGCUGUGGGGAAGAGUGAGCCAUCACACAGAGAGGCCACUGGUCCAGUCAACAGCCCCAGUUGAGGUCCCAGCUGACAGCCAGUAUCAAAUUGCCAAAGAAGUGAACAAGUGAGCCUUCAGAUGUCAAAUUAUCUCAGCCUUUGCAUGUUCCCAGUGAAGGCCCUAGACAUCAUAGAGCAGAGACAAACAAUCCCACUGUGCCCUUUCCAAGUUCCUGAUCCACAGAAUCUGUGAGUCUGAUAAAAUGGUGGUUGUUUUAUGCCACUUAGUUUGGGUUUCUUACACAGCAAUAGAUAAUCAACAUGAUUGUUUUAAGGAGAUGGAAAGGUUUAAGAGUAGUGAAAAAGCAGGAUACAGGUUUCAAGAAGGCUAACCUGACUGCAGUAGGCUGAGACUGGAGGCAGGGGACCCAGGAGAAGACCACUGACAGAUACUAUGUGAUGUAAACCUGAAUAUUCGGGGGAGGUGGUUAGAGGGCACAAAUGAGAUGCAGCAGUUGAGGAAAAGAGACAAGUUCAAAUGACUCCAAGGUUUGAACUAACAGUGGAACCCCUAACAGAUUUAGGUUCAUCCAGAAAGGAACUAAUGUUCUCUUUUCUGGUGGGUAGUUGAGAUAGAGGAGAGGAAGUAAAUCUGAACGAUGUCAGGAUAAAAUAUGAAGUAUCAAGUGAGAAGUUAGAAAUUCAGGAUCAGAAUCUAAACACUGGUUUUGGUUAAAACCAUGAAAACGAAUGAGAUUACCUUUGAGAUUAAGUUGAGAAAAGGUCUGAACCCCAGUGAGUGCCUAUAUGUUUAGGGCAACAACAGGUGAGAGGGACCAGAGUUGAUCGUCAGUGACAGAGGCAGAAUUCUUGAGCAUAAUUUCACAACCAAGUUUUGAAAAGCUGUGAUCAUUAUCAGUACCACAUGUUGCAGAGAGGCCAAAGAGACAAAACGUUGAAACAAGGAACUGGAACCAGAAAGGAGACCAGGAAGGAACCCAAGAUCAGAGGUGGGCUCCUGACCAAAAACGGAAUGAGAAACACAAACUGAAGCAUGAAUGAAACGACACAAACCCUGCUCUGUACACAUCAGUGUCUCUGGUGUCUGUUCAGAUGGGCAGUUUCCUGUGAGUCUGAAAAGAGGAAGUGGUGGGAACUGUUAAAAUGAGGUGGUGAAAUGUACAUUUCUAAGCAUAUAAAGUGAGCACAGGAACACCUGCCACUUAUCUACCUCACAAAGAUAAAGUACAGAUUAGAUUCCAAUAAAGUGCUUUGAGUUCUCUAGCAUGGCAGUAGACCCGAUACCUAUCUUUCAGCCCUUUAAGAGGAACAGUUUUUAGCAUUUGUUGAACUGCACAACAUUCCUGGGAGGUAGAUAUUAUCGUUGGAUGAAGAAACAAAGGCCACACAGCAAGUCAAAAGCCAAGGCAAGAUUAGAACAGGGCCUGCCUUCCGUGUGGAGAAGUCCAGUUGGCUGGAUUCCUUUUGUGUCAGUAAUAGGUUCUUUGAUCUGUAACAUGGAAGAGGCUUGUUUGGGGGGAAGUUGUGAAAAUAGAUUCAUUAAUGACCACAAACUUCUCUGAAACUAAAGGGAACAUGGGAAAAAAGGUGCAGCCACCCAGAUUCUAGAAACAAUAAAAUAAAUUCCAGGAACAAUGGGACUCUAAGAACAGCACAGGAGAUCCAGGGCACUUCAGGAGAGUCCAUCUGGGCAGUGUCCAGACACUGGGGGGGCCUCGCAGAGGGGGCACAUCUUCCUUCUGCCUCUUCAGUCUUGGCAGACACAGCACAGAGAUGGCUGGCUUGGACUGGCACAGAGCAGCGACUGGAUUACUCACAGGCUGAGCUGCUUUAACUCCAGAUGUGAUACAUAUCAAAAGCUCUUUGGAGUCCUCAAUAAUUUGUAAGAGUAUAGAGGGGUCCAGAGACCAAAAGUUUGAAAACCACUGCUACACAGCACGGAAUCUAAAUGAAGAGAAGACAAAAGAAUAGGCUGUGCAGCUGGAUCACUCUCUAGGUGAGCAGGUACGACUCUCAAGACUAGCCACCAUGAAUUUCAUGGACUUCUCAGCUGGAAUCACCACCACCUGCCCCAGUGCAGCUGAGCUUGGUCAGGAGCAGACACUCCGAUGCUGGUCCUGUGAUGGGGAUAGGUUCUCUGGCCAGCGAGCUCUAAGGGCAGGCUACGACCCCAAAGCCCAGGAUCCAUGGGCUAAUCUGUCUUCCUGAGAAACACAUGAUGAAAGAAUGAACAGGUAUCAGCAGUGAGUGGCACCUUGUCCCAUGAAUAACCACUAUUUGUCAUUGUCAAAAAACCUAGAACUCAACCUGAACAGAGAAAAAUUCUGGAACCCAUGGGACAAGAUAAGGAGCUCUCAUAAUCCAGAAUAGAAAGCCAAGGGAAGAGUGACCACAACAAAAAUAACAACAGGACCAGCUUCAUGGGUGUGCAACCCAUACAAUUACACAGGACCCUCUGCUCAGAUAGGCCCCACACUUGGUUCAAUGCUCUGCUGUUACCAUGCAGAAAUGCUUAAUAAUUCAUCUUUGAACUUGUAUAUUUUAAGUAAAGUCCAAUGGAGCAUGAAUGUGAGCAGAGAAAAUACAGGCAGUAUGCAUGUUGCCAUUCCUAGUCACCUUAUUUGCAUAUGGUCCAUUUGAUGCCCUAUGAGUGCAGGAUUCUGGUGGGCCCACCAUGUGUGGGAGUUCAUCAAGACUCAGAGCAAGCACAAGGUAAGCAUGUCAUAUCUACGACUAGGUGAGGCUGCAGUC